rnacentral:lncRNA from 1 species
AUGUGGUGUAGUACAGGUGUAACCUGUCCGUACAGUAACUCAGUCAUGUGGUGUAGUACAGGUGUAACCUGUCCGUACAGUAACUCAGUCAUGUGGUGUAGUACAGGUGUAACCUGUCUGUACAGUAACUCAGUCAUGUGGUGUAGUACAGGUGUAACCUGUCCGUACAGUAACUCAGUCAUGUGGUGUAGUACAGGUGUAACUCAGUCAUGUGGUGUAGUACAGGUGUAACCUGUCAGUAACUCAGUCAUGUGGUGUAGUACAGGUGUAACCUGUCCGUACAGUAACUCAGUCAUGUGGUGUAGUACAGGUUUAACCUGUCCGUACAGUAACUCAGUCAUGUGGUGUAGUACAGGUGUAACCUGUCCGUACAGUAACUCAGUCAUGUGGUGUAGUACAGGUGUAACCUGUCCGUACAGUAACUCAGUCAUGUGGUGUAGUACAGGUGUAACCUGUCCAUACAGUAACUCAGUCAUGUGGUGUAGUACAGGUGUUGUGUCCGUACAGUAACUCAGUCAUGUGGUGUAGUACAGGUGUAACAUGUCCGUACAGUAACUCAGUCAUGUGGUGUAGUACAGGUGUAACCUGUCCGUACAGUAACUCAGUCAUGUGGUGUAGUACAGGUGUAACCUGUCCGUACAGUAACUCAGUCAUGUGGUGUAGUACAGGUGUAACCUGUCCGUACAGUAACUCAGUCAUGUGGUGUAGUACAGGUGUUACCUGUCCGUACAGUAACUCAGUCAUGUGGUGUAGUACAGGUGUAACCUGUCCGUACUGUAACUCAGUCAUGUGGUGUAGU